rnacentral:tRNA from 1 species
GGCGCUAUAGUGUAGUGGUUAUCACUUGGGAUUCUGAUUAACGGUCUGCAUUCCCAAGACCCAGGUUCGAUCCCUGGUAGCGCCU